CCUACGGGUGGCAGCAGUGAGGAAUAUUGGUCAAUGGGCGCGAGCCUGAACCAGCCAAGUAGCGUGAAGGAUGACUGCCCUACGGGUUGUAAACUUCUUUUAUAAAGGAAUAAAGUGCGGCGCGUGUGACUUUUUGUAUGUACUUUAUGAAUAAGGAUCGGCUAACUCCGUGCCAGCAGCCGCGGUAAUACGGAGGAUCCGAGCGUUAUCCGGAUUUAUUGGGUUUAAAGGGAGCGUAGAUGGGUUGUUAAGUCAGUUGUGAAAUGUUGGGGCUCAACCGUAAAAUUGCAAUUGAUACUGGCAGUCUUGAGUACAGUAGAGGUAGGCGGAAUUCGAGGUGUAGCGGUGAAAUGCUUAGAUAUCACGAAGAAUUCCGAUUGCGAAGGCAGCUUACUAAACUGACACUGACGCUGAUGCUCGAAAGUGUGGGUAUCAAACAGGAUUAGAUACCCCUGUAGUC
rnacentral:rRNA from 1 species